UACAGAGACUGCAAGCGUUAUUCGGAUUCACUGGGCAUAAAGGGCGCGUAGGCGGGCCGUAAAGUCAGGGGUGAAAUCCUCCAGCUUAACUGGAGAACUGCCUUUGAUACUGACGGUCUCGAGUGAGGUAGGGGCGUGUGGAACUGAUGGUGGAGCGGUGAAAUGUGUUGAUAUCAUCAGGAACUCCGGUGGCGAAAGCGACACGCUGGACCUCUACUGACGCUGAGGCGCGAAAGCCAGGGGAGCAAACGGG
rnacentral:rRNA from 1 species